rfam:Schistosoma rodhaini strain Burundi genome assembly, scaffold: SROB_scaffold0012590
GUUGGUUAUGGUGAUAUGUUACCAAGAACAAUAUUAGGUAAAUUAAUUGGUGCAUGUUGUUGUAUAUGUGGUGUAUUAGUAGUAGCAUUACCAAUACCAAUUAUUGUCAAUAAU